rnacentral:ncRNA from 1 species
AACGCUCAUUCGCGGUUCAUCUUCAUACCUCCCUGUUGGACUUCGGCCGAGCUUUGAGCUCGGCCUUUUUU